rnacentral:rRNA from 1 species
UAGGGAAUUUUCGUUCAAUGGGCGCACGCCUGAACGAGCAAUGCCGCGUGAACGAGGAAGGUCUUCGGAUCGUAAAGUUCUGUUGAAGGGGAAAAAAGAGCGGAGAGAGGAAAUGGUCUCCGAUUGAUAUUACCCUUCGAGGAAGUCACGGCUAACUACGUGCC